rnacentral:rRNA from 1 species
UACGGAGGGUGCGAGCGUUGUCCGGAAUCACUGGGCGUAAAGGGCGCGUAGGCGGCCUGAUACGUCGGGGGUGAAAUCCUGCGGCUUAACCGCAGGGCUGCCUUCUAAACUGUCAGGCUAGAGCACAGUAGAGGCAGGUGGAAUUCCCGGUGUAGCGGUGGAAUGCGUAGAGAUCGGGAAGAACAUCAGUGGCGAAGGCGGCCUGCUGGGCUGUUGCUGACGCUGAGGCGCGACAGCGUGGGGAGCAAACAGG